UACGAGGGGGGGCGAGCGUUGUUCGGAAUUAUUGGGCGUAAAGGGCGCGUAGGCGGUCGGAUAAGUCUUGUGUGAAAUCUUCGGGCUCAACUCGAAGUCUGCACAGGAAACUAUCUGGCUUGAGUGUGGGAGAGGUGAGUGGAAUUCCUGGUGUAGCGGUGAAAUGCGUAGAUAUCAGGAGGAACACCUGUGGCGAAAAGCGGCUCACUGGACCACGACUGACGCUGAGGCGCGAAAGCUAGGGGGAGCAAACAGG
rnacentral:rRNA from 1 species